AUUGAACGCUGGCGGCAUGCUUUACACAUGCAAGUCGAACGGCAGCGCGGGCUUCGGCCUGGCGGCGAGUGGCGAACGGGUGAGUAAUACAUCGGUACGCUCCCCUUAGCGGUGGAUUGCGCGGCGAAAGCCGGAUCAAUACCGCAAACGACCCGAGUGCGAAAGCGGGGGAUCUUCGGACCUCGCGCUAUUGGAGCGGCCGAUGGCAGAUUAGCUAGUUGGUGGGGUAAAGGCCUACCAAGGCGACGAUCUGUAGCUGGUCUGAGAGGACGACCAGCCACACUGGAACUGAGACACGGCCCAGGCUCCUACGGGAGGCAGCAGUGGGGAAUUUUAGACAAUGGGCGGAAGCCUGAUCCAGCAAUGCCGCGUGUGUGAUGAAGGCCUUCGGGUUGUAAAGCACUUUUGGCGGGAACGAAAAGGACUGUGCCAAUACCACGGUUCGAUGACGGUACCCGCAGAAUAAGCACCGGCUAACUACGUG
rnacentral:rRNA from 1 species